rnacentral:rRNA from 1 species
GCUGGCGGCGUGCCUAACACAUGCAAGUCGAACGAGAAGUACGUAGCAAUACGUAUUGUAAAGUGGCGCACGGGUGAGUAACACGUGGGUAAUCUGCCCUUGAGUUUGGGAUAACCCCGCGAAAGCGGGGCUAAUACCGAAUAAGACCACGGGGAUCAAAGUCCCUGAGGUAAAAGACGGCCUCUAUUUAUAAGCUGUCACUUGAGGAUGAGCCCGCGGCCCAUUAGCUAGUUGGUAGGGUAACGGCCUACCAAGGCGAUGAUGGGUAGCUGGUCUGAGAGGACGAUCAGCCACACUGGAACUGAGACACGGUCCAGACUCCUACGGGAGGCAGCAGUGGGGAAUAUUGCGCAAUGGGCGAAAGCCUGACGCAGCAACGCCGCGUGGGGGAUGAAGGUUCUCGGAUUGUAAACCCCUUUCGAUCGGAACGAAUCCCCUCUUGGUAAAUAAUCAGGAGGAUCGACGGUACCGGGAGAAGAAGCCACGGCUAACUCUGUGCCAGCAGCCGCGGUAAGACAGAGGUGGCGAGCGUUGUUCGGAUUUAUUGGGCGUAAAGCGAACGCAGGUGGUUUGGUAAGUCAGGGGUGAAAGACCACAGCUUAACUGUGGCACUGCCUUUGAUACUGCCUUUCUAGAGUGCAUGAGGGGGAAGCGGAAUUCCGAGUGUAGAGGUGAAAUUCGUAGAUAUUCGGAGGAACACCGGUGGCGAAGGCGGCUUCCUGGCAUGUAACUGACACUCAUGUUCGAAAGCGUGGGUAGCAAACAGGAUUAGAUACCCUGGUAGUCCACGCCCUAAACGAUGGGCACUAGGUGUGGGAGGUAUCGACCCCUUCCGUGCCGCAGCUAACGCAUUAAGUGCCCCGUCUGGGGGAGUACGGACCGCAAGGUUUGAAACUCAAAGGAA